rnacentral:rRNA from 1 species
UACGUAGGGUGCGAGCGUUGUCCGGAAUUAUUGGGCGUAAAGAGCUCGUAGGCGGUCUGUCGCGUCGAUCGUGAAAACUUGGGGCUUAACCCUGAGCUUGCGGUCGAUACGGGCAUGACUGGAGUUCGGCAGGGGAGACUGGAAUUCCUGGUGUAGCGGUGAAAUGCGCAGAUAUCAGGAGGAACACCGGUGGCGAAGGCGGGUCUCUGGGCCGAUACUGACGCUGAGGAGCGAAAAGCGUGGGGGAGCGAACAGG